CCCUUAGAUGUUCGGGGCCGCACGCGCGCUACACUGAAGGAAUCAGCACGUCUUUCUCCUUGUCCGAAAGGACUGGGUAACCCGCUGAACCUCCUUCGUGCUAGGGAUUGGGGCUUGUAAUUCUUCCCCAUGAACGAGGAAUUCCCAGUAAGCGCGAGUCAUAAGCUCGCGUUGAUUACGUCCCUGCCCUUUGUACACACCGCCCGUCGCUACUACCGAUUGGAUGGUUUAGUGAGAUCCUCGGAUUGGUCCCGGAGCGGCCUCUGGUCGUGCCGGAGUGCCGAAAAGAAUGUCGAACUUGAUCAUCUGGAGGAAGUAAAAGUCGUAACA
rnacentral:rRNA from 1 species